UCCUCCUUCAUAUUGGUAGGACAAAAAAAUCCCAUUGCAGGAACUGGCAGCAGGAGCCGGUGCUUCGGUGUUAGUCAGGGAGAUCGCAAAGGGUACUAUAGCAACAAUGAUCAGAAAGAGCAAAAUGAAGUUGAAAGCCAUGAACUUUGGGAUGGUUGCUAAAGACAAAUGAAAUUGAAGUGGUUUUUGUAGUGAGAAAGGAUGCGAAGCGUGAAACGAGUAGCUAGAAUCUGUGCUGCUGCUGCUAGCCGUCACGGUAUUCAAAGAAGCUGACUGGAUUUCAUGGGGCGUCCAUAGGGAAUUAAGGGGGAAAAUUAAAAAAAAG
rnacentral:misc_RNA from 1 species